UUUCUUUUUUUUCUCUUCUAAUUUUUCAAAUUUCGAAUUGAAAAGUUAAAAUCCGAAAGGAAAAAAAAAAUAUUCAAAGAAAGACGAAGGUGAAAUUUAAGAAUAUUUGCACAUUAUUAUUAUUAUUAUUAUCAAUAUUAUAAUUUAUAAUUUUAUUAUUGUAAAUGGUGGUGUAAAUUAUGAAUAUUUAAUUAAGGUGUAAAUGUGGAAUUUUAGAAAGAUGCGGGGCCAAAAAUAGUAAAAUGAAUAAAUAGGAGGGGCCAAGAAUAGCAAAUUUGGAGAUAUUGAUUUUUGAUAAAGGAAAGAAAAAAGUGUCAAUUAUUGAAAGAAAUUGGGAUAUCAAUUCCUCAUCUCAUUCAAAUCAAAUGGGACAUUACAAUAUAUUUGAUUUGGUGACAUUUUGCCAAACUUUACUUUUAUUUUUUUAUUUUUUUAAUCAUUAUUUUUCAAUUUUAAUAUAGUAAUGUAGAGAGAAAAUGUUUCUAAGUUAAGCAAUUUAUUUUUUUUAAGUGCAAAUUCUUAUUAUUACCUACCUCACAUUUCAAAAUAAUGUAAACUUAUUCAUUUCUUUUCGGCCCUACUCCUUCCUUAAGUUUGUGGUUCCCAUAUAUGAACCCUUCCACUCAUACUUUCCUCAAAAUUUAGGGUUUAAAUUUAAUGAAAAAGAAUGGAAUAAACCUUUAAUUGAUGAUUAACUAUUUUUUUUAAUGAAUUGAGAAGAAAUAAUUGAUGUUGAUGUUUAUGUGAAUCAAUCAUCAUAUUACUACUACACAUAUGAUGCCAAAUGCUAAAGGGAAAAAAAAAAGUUUACAAAUUUCUUUAAUUUUCUCUCUCCCUAAAUGUUCUUCUUUUUUCUCUCUCUCUUGAAACCAGCAAAUCCAUUGUAGUGUAUGAGGUGGCCAAAUUUCAAUAAAGAUUCUUUUUCAAACAGUAUAUAUAUUGAUUCAGAUUCUAAUUCAACUUUAAUUUAAAAUUAUUAUAAACUCAGUUCAUCAAACUCACUUCCAAAACCCACUUUAAUUAACCACAUAAUUAAUUAACUACUUUCGCCUAAUCAUAUUAUAACGGCGCAAUUAAUAAUUCAACUUAGUAUUAAUUAAAUUAUAGGUUUAUAUUUACUAUUCAUAUACUUCGAACCUUAGCACAUGCUAAUUAAUUAUUUUCUUUCAGAUAUGAACUAAUUAGAAUAAGCAUAUAUUAGAAUUUUUAUUUUUCUUUUUCUCUUGUCAAUACAUAAUUUUCUAAUCCUACAAUUAUACUUUCGGUUAGAUCUCUAACGACCUAAUUAAUUUAAUUGAAAAAAAACUUUUUUUCUAAAAACAAUGAAUUUGUGUGAAUAUGUAUAUAUAUUUCUUUUUAUUAAUGUUGAAAAAAAAAUUGAGAUAUUUUAUGUUGAAUGAGUGAACUUUAUAUUAAAAUUUUAAAGCUUAGUUUUGGCCUUUUAUUCUCAUUUGUAUUAUGUUAUGUAUUUUUGACUUUCAAAACCUAUCCGUAACCGGAAUGAAUAUUCUUAAAUCUUAAAUACAUGCAUAUAUUAAUACCUCACCAUGUUGUGUUAUGGCCUCAUACAUCCUUUUCUUAAUAUUUUUUACUUGAGAUAUGUUUUUUAAAUUAUCACAAGUUUAUUUAUUCAAUACAAUCAUUUUAAAUGAAUAAUUCCUUCUCGUGUAGAUUCAAAUUUUCAACUUUGUUGUUCGAUAAUAUACUUUUAUAUUAUUUUGGUGUAUGGUAUUCAUUUUGGUAGUCAUUUCUAACGCGACCAAUAUUAUUACCAUGUUGAGUCUCUUAUUAAUAUACUCAAUAGGCAAAUUUCAUGUGCUUUAGAUUUUUCCUUUCAAUUUGUGCAAUACAAGUUUUGGGUUCAAUUUUCUAAGACCUCUUCGUUUUUGGGUGGUUAGCUAAUUGUCCUAAGCAUAAUAUUUCCUUUUCUUUUUAAAAAUAUGGAUAAUAAAAUAAUAUUUUUAUUAUCCCCAUGUAAGGUAUAAUUUGUUUGUGAAAAAAAACUCUCAAUUUUUUAAAAUAAUUCUUUUUUGAAAACAAUACAAACAACCAAUUUGGUUGGGUUGUAUUUUUUAUAUAUAACGUUGUAUUUGUCAACCAAAAAUCUAAUCUAAUUUUUUCAAAGAUAAUAUACGUUUUUUUCUCGAACGUCAAUUUGAAUAAAUCCCAAUAAAAUAAAAUAAAAACCUUCAAUUUAAAUUUAAAUUGAAUUUGAAUUUGAAUUUAUUUUCCUUUUUAAAGCAACGAAAGUCAAAAGCAAUCCAGCCAUCAGAUUGGGUGUUUGGAAAUUUUGGAAUACUAAAAUAUAAUAUAACAAUACAUACAUACAAUAAGUAAAUAAAUAAAUAAUAUAUAUAUAUAUAUAUAUAUAUAUAUAUAAUUUUUUUUUUAUAACAAAUAAUAUUGAGUCAAAGAUUUUGUUUAAUUAAAACUAGGUUGGGAUGGGGAAAAGAAUUUUUUUCUUAGUUUGAUAAUUGAAAAUAAAAUUCAUUGUAUGUGGAUUUAUUUUUUAUAAUUGAAAGUUUUGUUUCGUUAUAUUCAUAUUUUUCGAAUUGAAAAAAUAAUUUUAAAAAGAAAAAGAAAUUUAUUGUUUUGAUUUUUUAGUUUUUGAAUGCUACAAUUAUGGGGAUGGAGGAGAUCAAGCUAAGCUAUCUUAACAGUUUAUUGUAUUGACUUAUUUUUCAAAUUGAUUUGCAAUCAAAGCCUAUAGAUAUUGAUUACUACUAUUUCCAUGUUAAAUUUUGUGAUAAAGAAAUCUUUUAUUUUUAGUUCCUAUAAUUUUCUUCUACUUUACUAUAUUUUUAGUAUUUAGACUUAACAUUUCUAUUUUUAAUAUUAAACUUUUCGUGAAAGUUUUUCCUUAAUUAAACCUAUUAAUUUUAAGACAAUUUUAGUUUCAUGAAAAUUAAAAUUAAAAAUGAGUUUCUUAUGCAUAUAAUGGAAAAUUUUAUUAGAGACUAAGUUAUGUUUAUUUAUAAACUAUAAAGACUUUUUGGAAUUGAUUUGAUAAUGUUUGUCAGAUAGGGAUUAAUUAAAAUGCUAAAAUUAUCCAACUAAAAUAUUACAAUUUUGAAAAGAUUAACAAAUUUAAUUUUUUAAAAUUUAAAUGUUUUAAAAGAUUAAUAAAAGAAAAAAUAUGAAAGUUUAUGGUAAAUGAAAUUGAUUUUCUUGUAAUCUUAUUAAUUAUUUAUGUUAAAUUUAAUAGUCAUUUUCAAUAUAGUGGUUACCCUAUCAAAUUACUAAUAUUAUGGAAACUGUCCACUAAAUCUAAAUAGAAACAAAAGGAAAAAACGUGAAAAAUUAUUACAUAUUAAGACAAUAAUAAAAUAUAUGAGAUUUCUUUUUCUUUUUCUUUUUCUUUUUCGGAUUUUUGUUCAAUUCAUUUAUUGAAAUAACUCAAUUUCCUUCCUUUUCUUCUUCAUAAUUUCUUCAAUAAUUAGAGCACUUUUUUUUUUCACAAAAUAUAUUCUUCCUUAGCUUGUUGGAUUAUAUUGAAAAAUAAUUUUUAAUAAUCUACACCUAAUUAGUUGUAGAUUCACAUGUUUCAUAUAUAUAUUAAUAUUAAAGGAAUGAAUAUUCUUAUUAAAAAUGCAACACAUAUAUUUUUAGUAGAUUUAGAUAUUAGGGUUUUCUUAGAUGUGCAGCAAAUCCCACUACUUUUUUUCUAAAAAAUAAUUUAUUAAAAAAACCUACCACUAAUAUAUAUAUGAAAAAAAAAUGAAUUUAAGUUCAAUAAAUAAAUAAAAAAUUAAAGGGCUUAUAUAUCACAUCCUUCUAAACCCUAAAUCCAAUAUCAUACAUAAAAGAGUUGAGAUUUUGGUGUAUAGUUAUUAUUCAAAGUAUUAGAUAACAUAUUUAAGACAUUAUAACAAUUCGACCACCAUAAUCUAAUCGAUAAAUUAAACUUUAAUUUAUCAAAGAUUUAUUUAAAUGUUAGUCGUUUACUAUUUACUUCGGUAUAUAACAACAUAUAUAAUAAAGUAAAAUUAAACGAUUAAAUCUUUUGUAACGACAAGAGGGUGUAGGAAUGAACCAAGAUGAAGAUGCCCUAUGAAAUACAUACAAGUAUAUAAAAGUCCAAUUUGAAUGAUAAAAGAGAAGAAUGGUUGGGGGUGAAAUAUAACAAAAACCAUGUGAAAUGUAAUAAUAAAGGUCACAGAUAUGUAGAACUUUAUAUAUAUAAUUUUCUUUGUUAUUUUUGUGUAUAUAUAAUUUUGCAAGUGUUUAUUUUGAAAGCAUGAAGAUGGGAUAUUUGUCGAGUGCAAUGCAUAGAGCAGACAUUUUUUAAUUUCUUAAAUUGUACCUACUUGUCUCUACUUUAUGUUUCUUCUUUUCUAAUAUUCCAUCAUUAAAAAUUAGAAUAUUUUUUCAUAAAGAAAAAACAUUUUUUUUUCAUUCUAAAAUAUACUUUAAAUUAUUUGUACCCUCUUAUAAAAUGUUGAUUCUAUCGUACAUUGUUUUACGUCGUGUCGUGUGGUUGUGUCCCUCGCUUAAGUUUUUGUAUUAAGGUUUCAAUUAUUGUUAAAUAAAUAUUAAGAAAGAGGUCACGUUACCAUAAAGGUGAUUUUCUUUUUUCAACUCUUUAUUUUUGUUAAAAAAUAUUGUGUAUAUAUUAAAUACAUUAGAAAAAGUGAUAUAGUGUAGUUAAUAAUACAAUAUAUGUUAGUUUAUUUUUUGUUUGUACCAAAUAUGCAUGUAAUGUAUUUUAUUGUAACUUCAUGUAUAUGUAUAGUUCGUAAUGCAUAAUAUUGCUACUAAUCAUUAAAUGUCAUUAAUACAUAGUUUAGUAUCCAUUUCUUCUUUUCGUUAUUGUAUCACAUGUCAUUAAAUGUUUAAUUGUUUUUUAUAUAUAAGUUAUUGCUUGAUAACAAUUCUAUGUGUAUUUGCACAUAAAAAGUUGGUUUUAUUUCUUUUACAUUUGUUUUCCCCUUCAUAUAUUUAACAAAACAAUUACUAUAUAAAAUCUGCAAUCGAAAAAUCCAGAAACUUGUGUCAAUUAUUGUAAUUUAUUAGAUAGAAUCGAAAGAGUUAGUAAAUAGAAUCUAAAAUUUUAUUUUUUUUUUAACUUUGUUAAUUUUAUAGUUUACAUACCCCUUUAGAUUAUUUGAUCUACACAUCUGAUGCCAUUAUAAUUUUAUAAAAGUUUUACAUAGGAAUAUAAUUAAAGAGAUUGUUUUUGUAUGUUUUAAAAAAUGUAUUUUAAGCACUAAGAGUGGUCUAAACAAAUUUCAUAUCUUAGUUAUAAAUGAAUUAAUUUAUCACAAUGAAUGAUAGAAACAUAGGCCGGUAGGGUACUUAUUCAUGAUAGAAAUUUAUUAAUAACCACAAUUCAUGUCAUAAUUAUUAUGUUGAUAGACACCUAAUAAUUGAAAGAUAUAUUACCCCAUAGUUGUGAUUGAAAUAUAUAGAUAUAUAAAGAGCUUAUCAAUGAUGUAUUGUGUCUUUCAUUGAAGUUUACAUUUGAUAGGAGCCUUUCAUAUUGACUUAAAUAUAGCAAUUAAGAUUUAGUCUUUAUCUCUUGUCUACCAUUUUUCUUCUUGUUUCCCUUCGUUUAAUUAUGAAUCUACAUUUUUACCGUAGUUUAAUUCUUUGAGAAAAAGAGUAAAUAGGUUAGAAACAAGGUAUAUGAUAAUCAUGAAGUAUAGAAAUCUUAUUACUAAACAAAUGCAAGGAUCAAUUGUUACACAUUACAUAUAAUUUUUUUACGGUUUAUUUAUAAAUGAAAUGUCAAAGUGAGCUUAAUUCAACGAUAAUUGAUAUGACUUUCUUUUUUAAAUGAAAAAUUCGAUCCACUUUUCACACUUAUUGUUACUAAAAAAACUUAUAAGAAAAGUUUUAAAAAAUUGAACAUUUUUUUAGUACAUAAUAAUUGUGGAAUGAGUAAUCGAUCUAAAAAAAAGCGAUGAUAAUUACUAUCAAACUUGAAGUUAUGUGAGAUCUACGUUGAAUCACUUACGUAUUUAGAUUCUCAAACUUAGAAAGUAAGCCAUCACUUCAACUUUGACCAAUCAUUUCUUUUAAAGAAAGCCAAAAACCAUAACAAGGUUUAAAAUCUCAACAUCAACAAAAUUGGGAAAUUGGGAGAAUUCAAUAGGGAGAGAAAUGUCUAUUAUAUUAUUUUCACAAUAAUAACUUGUUAAAAACUCUUUUUUUUAUAAUAUAAUGAAAAUAUCGAUUCACACGUCUAAGUUAUAAAAAUAUGGAGAUGGAAGCAUAGAGAUGUGUCGGGGGAUGCAAGGUACACGUGUACAUAUACAUAUAUGUAGUUAGAGGAAUGCAUAAUAUUGAGGAGGUUCCAAGUGGAGAAAGGGAGGCGGUGGAUGAAGUGGGAAUGGGACCGAGAGAGAGAGGGAAACAGAUCCAUGUGGGAGUGGGGGCCAAGUUACAGGUGACAAACUUACAUCCACACUCUCAAAAUUCCAAGUUGGGAUUGAAUGGAAAUGGGAAGUGUUUAUUUUAGAAGAGGAAGGGCAUAUUAGUCUUAUCUUAUGGUGCAAAUAUGUAUUAAAAAGAGAUCAAAGGAAGAAAGAAAAAAGAAAGAAAAGAAAGAAUUUAGGUGGGACAUUGCAUAUUGAGGGCUUUUUGGGAUGUGGACAGACAUACGCACACGGAGACGCCUUUUCCAUCUUUUUCUUCCCACCUCCUAAAUUAUAAUAAAGAGGGUUUUGGAAGACAUGGGAGGGAGAGGUUUAGUAUUUGCUUCCUCUUACACCCAAACAGCUUUUUCUUGGUCCCUGUUUCACUCUCUCUUUGCCUUCUCUUUUUAAAUAAAACAAACUCUAUCUAUAUAAUAUUGUUGAUGCUUCACAAUCUUUAUAAAAUAUAACAAAAUAUCAUCAUCUAUAUUUAGUGUACUCAUCUAUGAUUUUGUGCAAACAAAUUUCACAAGUAUUCAAAACAAGCAAACACAAAUGUAGUUGAGUUAUAAUGGAUGCUUGGGACCAUUAGUUGUGUACAAGGGCCUCACAGGAGGGCAUGGAGAAACUUUGAUAGAUGGUUAAGUAUUAAGAUUAUGGAGUUAAUCCACUGUGGCUACGUGUUUAAGACUUCUUAUCAUAUCAAUACAAAUGAAUACACUUGUAAAAAGAAUGAUUAUACAUAGAGAGAGAGAGAGAGAGAGAGAGAGAGAAAGAGAGGGAGAGAGGGAGACAGACUGAAAAUGUAUGUGAUGUGGUGAUGUAUUUAUGUUUGAAUGUGGUGAGGAGGAGGUUUUGAUGAGGAUGGGGGGAACAAUUUCCUGGUCUCACUUCAACCUCUCAACAAUAUACGAAUUGUUUAGCAUUUGUGUUUUAUUAUGUUCUCUAUUCAUUUAUUUAUUCAAUUAAAAACAAUCAAAGAAUGUGAAUGAUGUCAGACUUGUCCUAAUGUUUCUAUAUCUUAGGUUAUACGGUUUCAUAAAAUUACUUUCUCCAUAUUCAAAUUUAUCAUAUAUACCACAUUUUUUGAAAAAAAAAUUAAAAUUAUCAUAAGAGAAAUAUAAAAUAAUCAACAUUUCAUUUUGGUAUCAUAUAUAUAUAUAUAUAUAUAUAUAUAUAUAUAUAUAUAUAUAUUCUGCUUUAGUUUAUAACACUAAUAUAAUUCCACGACGUGUUUUCUUAAUUAUUUUUGUUGUUUUUUAAAAUUUAAACAAAAGUUUAGAAAUUAGUAAAAUAAAAAACAUUAAGUGACAUUUAACUAAGAAUUCAAAUAUGUGUAAGCAUGAGCUAUAAUUACACACUCAUGCUUUAAAAGUUUGAAUAAAAAAAAUAUGAAAGAUAGAUAUUGCUUAUAUCGUAAUGUUGAGGUUAGAGAUUUCAUCUUUUCACUUCACAUUGUUUCGUAUUUAAAAUUUAAUUAAAAUUUAGGGUUUAGGAUGAAAUGUAUAUAUAUAGUUAAUUAGGAUGAAUAUGAUAGUUAAUAAAACAAAUCUUAAAUUUUUAUUUCCACCUUUUCAAAAUUAAUCUUAAAAUUAAAACACAAGCUAUACUAUGAAUUAUAAUAAUUUCUUUUAUUAUUAAUUUUUAGGCUUUUCCCCCCUCAAAAUUCACAUCAAAAUGAGAUUUAGGACAUUCAUCUUACUUGGAAAAUAAUAUUAUAUGCUUUGACUUUUGAUUGGAAAUUACAAAGUGAUAAAAAAAAGAUAUAAUUUUGAAAGAGAAUAUAUAUUUUUUUUUCUUAUAAAGAAAUAAUAAGAAAAAAUAGGAAAAGUUGUAUGUUUUUUUUUUCUUUCCCUUUUUUCAUGGAAGAAAGGAAAGGGCAAAAGAAAGGGUUCUUGGGACAAGAAAAGCAAAGCCAACCUGGUGAAAACGGCAACUCUAUAUGUAUAUAUUAUUUGUAUUAUAAAUCCAUUGGAUUUGGCCUUUUCAAACUACAAUAAUACACCAAUAUAAUGUUAUCUUCUUUCCCUUCUAGAUUAUUGGGUUUCAUCCAAAACAACUUUUAAUAUUAACUUCUUCCAAAAUAUUAUUAUUUAUCUCGUUCUUCUUCAAAAUCUUCAUCGAUUCAAAAACUUUAAAUGUAUACUUAAUCAAUUUAUUACGUUAUUCUACUCGAUAAUAUACCAAAAACAUUUUUUUAGCAGGUGAAGAUCUCACAUAUAGAAUGUGUAUGAAUUUUUUUUGCUUUGAUAAUGGUUUUCCAAGUAAUUGAGAUAAAAUAUCCUUUUUUUUUUUAACAAACCAUUCAUUUUGCUAAGGGUAUAGUCAUUGUAAAACCCUUCUCAAAUAUAGUUUAAAUAAAAUAGAAAUGUUUUGCUGUUUAUUUAUGGACAAAUAAAUUUGAGAUAAAACACAAAUAUGUUUUCACAAUAUGGGGAAAGGGGAAAUUUCAAAAAAACUUUUGUUUUAGAUAUGUUUUCUUUAAAAAAAAAAACAUUAAAUCUAAUUUUGUGGACGUGAGUUAGGAAAAAUUGAACCACACGUUAAAAACGUCUCAAUUCAACUUUAUCCCUCCCAUUUUUCACUUUUAUACAAAUGUGUAAGACUUUUAAUGUCAUUCGACUUUAUUUUUCUAUGAAAUAUCACAAUCAAUGCUACUAAAGCAAACACGAUAGUAAAAGUUUUGAAUUUAUCAAAAUUAAGUUUAUGAUCACAUUGUCGAUAUUUUCUUAAAAGUAUAUAACAUCACAUUCUAGUUGACUUUUAUCUACAUUUUUCUCCCAUUCUUCAUUUUCUUGGUAGUUCAUACAUUAAAUUUAAGAUUUAACAAAAUUACAUAGACUAAAGUUGAAUAUUUUAGAAAAAAAAAUUAAACAAACAAUCAACAUGUUAUUUUAAUUUAAAAUUAAAAUUAUAUUAAUAAGGAAAGAAAAGAAUAUCUUCAAUGAACACCAAGUAGAAAAAUAGUGAAAGCCCAAAAAUAAUAAUUCAUGUGUGCUUUUUCAAUCAUGGAAAAGUAAAUCAUCUCUUAAACCUUCACUUUUUUUUUUCGUUUGCUUUAGAAGAAAAAAUAUUUCUAAGUUCCUAUCAUAUAUAUAUAUGCACUAAUUUCCCCACCACAAAUGAUAGCAAAAAUUGCUUCUUCUCUCUCACUUUAAAGUACUUGUGGUCUACCAAUUGGCUACUUGGGUCAAUAUCAUUGGGAAAUGCAUUUGUGAAUUUGAAAGAGGUGAAGAGGGAAAAAAAAUAUGGUCAAGUUCAAAGCUUUAUAGGGUUCAUGUGGAUAAAGAUAUAUAGAUAUCAACAUUCAUCUAAUUAUAACUUCUAAUUAACUUUUUCUAUAGAUUCUUCUCUUUCAACCUUUUUGGUUGCUUUGUAUUAUUCAAUUAUUUCCUUUUCUUUCUUUUGGUUCUUUAUCAUCACUCAUUUCUUUUUCAUUAUUAGGAAAUCAAAGAGAAAAAAAAAAUAAUUACAAAGAUAACAAAAAGAAAGAAUAAAGUAAACUUAUUUUCGAAAUAACAUCCGUGCAUGUAAAAGUAAAAUUUAGUUAUAUACACGUAAGAAGUUGACCUUGUCUUUAAAAUUAUCAACAUUUUGUUUAACAUGUUUUGUAUCAUGUCAAGCAACUUGUUUCUUGCCAUGUUGAUUAUUCUAUCUCAAGAAUUUUUUUUUCUUUUUGUGUAGAGAGAAUAGUUUUUUUUUUUUUUCUUCCUUUGAAGAUCUUCCAAAGGUUGAGGCAUUUUUGUUGCGGAUUUUGUUUGUUUUUAGGGUAGCCAAUUGAAUGUAAGAAAUGAGUAUGUGUUAAGGUUUUAGAGCAUGUGUUCAAGAAAUAUAUGUUUGUAUGUAUGGUUUAUAAUUUUUGUGUUACUCAAAUGUUGAGGAAGUUACCCUAACUUUAUUGUGGAUGUGAGAGAAGUUCGAACUUAGUAGAGCUUAAGUUAAAACCGAAGAGUAGGCCGCAGUGAGUGAAUCAAUUUCUUUUCACCUCGUAUGCAACGACCUCUCUAGGUCUCAGAGUAGAUGACUUUACACCGAGCUGGAUUACCAAUCCUUAUGUCCAUAUUACGACAUUCUAUACAUUAAUUAUUUUGUUGAAUCAUCAAUCUUGCUUUGACUUGUGUGUAUGUUAUUGUUGUCGAAUAUCGAGCGAAGUAUCAAAAAAGUCCGCUCUUUUGAAUAUUAAAAAGAAAAAAUCAAAAUCAAAAUAUUGAAAAAAGUGAGGAAAUAAUGCAUUUUUAUUAAAAAAGAAAAAAAAGUGUAAAAAAUAUAUUUGACAUCUUUGGACACCAAUUUCGUCUUUAAUUUUCUAAAAUGGGUUUGGGCCACAUACCCUAAGCCCAACCUUUGAUUUGCCUUUUUGAAAAUCAAAGUCUAAUUAGAAAAUAAAAAUAAAACGUAUUAAAUCUUAUUUUCUCACUCCAAUUCAAAAUUCACAAAACCCAUAUUAAAUGUAUUUUUUUCAUAAUAAAUAAACUCUCUUUCCAUCAUUAAAUGAAAGUUUUGUAAAUAAAAAAAUAUAUUAAAAUUGGAUAUAAACAAAUACAAAAAAGAGUUUAAAAUGUCCAAAAUUAACCUAAAAAAAUUAAUUUUUUAUUCAAAGACAUUUAUGAAAUAUAUGACCCAAAAUAAUACUUUCAUGUAAAAAUUAAUCACUUUUUUUUUUUAAUGAAAAUCGUCAAAAGUUCUAAAAUAAAUGUAUUAUAUAUGCUAUUGAUGUAUAAAAAUUAAAGUCUAAUAAAGUAUUAUUUACCACUACAAUAAAAGAUUAAGAUUUUUAAACUCAUUACAAUAAUCUAUUAAUUAGUACUCUCUGGAUAUGUAACUAAUUAAAAGUUGAGAACUUAAGAUAUAUCCAUAAAUAUGACUGUGAAUCUAGUUGGAAAGCAAGAACAAAAUAUAAAAAAUAAUUUUGAAAACAACUUUUUAGAAUUUCUUUUAGAGCCAAUGCUUCUCGAGUUAGAUGGAAGACUUCGGACAUGUUUGGUAGAGAAUUUGGAAACAAAAAUUUGAACACAAUAAAUUUAUAAAAACAAAGUUGUAUUUUAUGUUUUCAAGAUAUACAUUUGGUAGAAUAUUCAAAUUUGGAUUCUAAUUUUAAAAGAAGGUUUAGAUGUGUUUCAUAUUAUAUAUUUUUUAAAUCAUAAAACUAGUCUUACUUAUCUACUAAGAUUUAGUUGACAAAAAAUUAUUGUUAAUUUAUUUAUGAAUAUAAUUUAUAUUUAAAAUGUUGGAUACUUGAGAAUGUUUUCAUUAUUAUAGUUUAGAGGUUAAAUUAUGUUAAACUUUAAUUGAUUUUUUUGUACUUUUAGCCAUUAAAUAUUUUAAUUAGUACACAAUUGUGUAGAUAAUUGAACUCUUCGAUCUUAAUCAUACCAAUAGUCCAAUACAAUUGAGCCUAACUUUUUUGGAUUAUUGAAAAAUAUUAUAAAACCAAUGCAAAGAUCAUAAUAAUGGAGGGAGAUCAAAUCCUCUUUAUCCUCUUUUCUAGAGUGAUCAUAUCACCAACCCACUUAGUUUCUCUCCUUAUUUUACUUUAUACAUGAUCUUAGUCUCUAGUUCACUUCACAAACAAAAUUAAUAAGCUAGAAUUAUUAUUAAUUAACCAUUUAGGUGCAUUCACUAACUAAUCCACUUAGUUUUUUAAAUAAUAAUUAUGUAACCAAGUUGAAAUUUCUCUAAGGUUGGCACUAGUCAUAGCAUAAACCAUUAUGGGGUGCUUAUCUUUAAAAUGUGAUCAUUUUCCCACCAUUACAUAGAAAAUGGGGAACUUAAAUAUUGUUUGUGUCUCAAAAGAGAUCAAUUAGAAGAACAUGCAUAAAUGGCGAUAUUGUUAGAAAUAUAAUAUUAGUGUGAAUGAUCUCAUUGGAAAAACAAAAUAAAAUAAAAUUUAAACUUUAAUCCACUUGUUAAUAUAAUCAUUUUUGAAUUUGCAUAUGAUAAAAUAGGUUAAAAUUGCUAGUAAAAGACUAGAAAAGUUAAGUCCAAGAUAAAGCAGACUACAAGGACCUAUAUUUGUUGAGUUAAUUAACCUUAUACUAUUUAGGAUUAGAUGUGUAAUUUAGGGCAUGUUUGGUAAUUUAUUUGGUUUUUUUUAAUUGAUUUUUAAAAAACAAACGCUGUGUUUGGUAAUUGGUUUAGAAAGGAAAAUUGAAAAUGAAAAAAAAAAAGAUUUAUUUUUGUCUUUAAUAAACAAAAAAUUUAGAAAGAAAAAAGUAUUAUUAAGUGUUAGUUCUAAAGUGCACUUAUUGCAAUUAUCUUAAAAAAAAUUAAAAAUCAAAUUUACACUCGAAUUAUUUUUUUAAUCUCUAGAAUCACUACUUCGAAUGAAAUGAAAUGAAAUGGUCUAAAUCUUAAAACAAUGAUAAUAAAUAAACAACUAGCAAACAAACUAAUGGAGAUACAAAGCAGUGUAUAUCUAACUUCACUUUUUUGCAUGUGCACCAUCUUAACCACUAAGAACAACACACUCCCUGUCUCUAUAUAAGGAGAUCAAUGGAUACAUUCUAAGGCAUCCCUUUUCCAAUGGCUAUCUCUAAAACUUUAUCUUUUGGUUUCCUUUUGCUGGUGAGUUUGGGCUUAGCUUCGGCGGCCCGAUCUCUUCUUUCUUACGAUAUUCCUCCUCAUCGAUCUGGAUACGAUAAUUAUGAUCAUCCUGUAGUUAACCCUAAAGUAGGAUACGAACAUGACCGUCGUGAUGGAUACUACCAUGACCGUGACCAUCAUGAUGCACCUUAUGGUGGUGGUGCUGGUGGAGGAUAUGGAGCUGGAGCUGGAGCUGGCUCAUCUCUUGGAGGCUCUGGAUAUGGAAGUGGAGGAGGUGGUGGUUCUGGAUAUGGAGGUGUAGGAAACCACGAGGUUGGUUAUGGUAGUGGUGGAGGGGGUGGAUAUGGAGCUGGAGUUGGCUCUGACCUUGGUGGUAGCGGAUACGGAAGCGGUGGUGGUGGAGGCAGUGGAGGAGGAUACGGUGAUUUAGGAGGACGUGGAAAAGGGUACGGUAGCGGUGGAGGUGGAGGAAGUGGAUAUGGAGGUAGAGGAGACCAUGGAGUUGGUUAUGGAAGUGGUGGAGGUGGAGGAUAUGGAAGUGGAGUAGGUGGUGGUGCAGGAGUGGUAGACCAUGGUGUAGGUUAUGGGAGUGGAGGAGGAGGUGGGGCUGGUAGUGGUUAUGGUGGUUCCAAAGGAUAUGGAGGUGGAAGCGGCGGCGGUGGGGGAGCCGGUUAUGGUGGUGGAGCACAUGGAAGUGGAUAUGGAAGUGGUGGUGGAGCUGGAAGUGGUGAAGAAGGAGGAUAUGAUGGUGGAUAUGCACCGUAAACAAAGAAAAGAAAAGAAAAAGCUCAAAGUUUUAUGGCUAAAAUGAGAAUGCUUACCCUAAUAUCAUCAAUGUGUGUGUGUGUUAGCAAAAAAAAAAAAUAAAAGAAUUUGGGUAAGAAAUGUUAUAUUAAUUAUCUUUGAGCUUUUAAGUAAUUUGAAUGUAAUAUAAUAUAUAUAUAAAAAAAGCUAAUCCAUGUGUUCCAAAGUGAACCAACAU
rnacentral:lncRNA from 1 species